GGCUGCCCGAGUUGACCUCCGCGCGCGGGCCGCGCAUGCUCCAUGCGGGCGGAGGGCCUGGCGGGCCGGGGCGCGCGGUCACUGCCGACCCCGGGCAUCGGGUCUCUGCCCUGCGAAGGUGGGAAGAUACCAGUUUGGGUUCAUAAAAAUUUUCACCUGGAAGUAUCUACUGUCUGAAGGCCUGUUCUUCGAGUUUUCUCCUGAAACACAGAUGCCUCCUUCUUUACUGUCUGAGCCACCAGUCACGUAUGGAUGUGAAAGCUGAGCGCUGAAGAACUGAUGCUUUUGAACUGUGGUGUUGGAGAAGACUCUUGAGAGUCCCUUGAACUGCAAGGAGAUCCAACCAGUCAAUGCUAAAGGAAAUCAAUCCUGAAUAUUCAUUGGAAGGACUGAUGGUGAAGCUGAAACUCCAAUACUUUGGCCAUCUGAUGUGAAGGGCCAACUCAUUGGAAAAGACCCUGAUGCUGGGCAAGAUUGAAGGCAGAAGGGACGACAGAGGAUGAGUUGGUUGGGUGAAGCACUGACUGGAUGGACAUGAUUAUGAGCAACCUCUGGGAGUUGGUGAUGGACAGAGAAGCCUGGCAUGCUGCAGUCCAUUGGGUCACAGAGUCGGACACAACUGAGCUACUGAGCGACUGAACUGAACUCUUGUUCCCACCUUCUUUCUACCUCUAAAAGUCCUCUGUCUGUGCAGCUCUUCAGACCUCCUUUCUAUUUGCCAUAUGGGAUGCUGCCCAAUUUAUGAAUGGUUGCAUAAAGCCAUUA